AGCGGCGGACAGGUGAGUAACGCGUGGGUAACCUGCCUCAUACAGGGGGAUAACAGUUGGAAACGGCUGCUAAUACCGCAUAAGCGCACAGUACCGCAUGGUACGGUGUGAAAAACUCCGGUGGUAUGAGAUGGACCCGCGUCUGAUUAGGUAGUUGGUGGGGUAACGGCCUACCAAGCCGACGAUCAGUAGCCGACCUGAGAGGGUGACCGGCCACAUUGGGACUGAGACACGGCCCAA
rnacentral:rRNA from 1 species